rnacentral:rRNA from 1 species
GCGAACGCUGGCGGCAGGCUUAACACAUGCAAGUCGAGCGCCCCGCAAGGGGAGCGGCAGACGGGAGAGUAACACGUGGGAACGUCCCCUUCGGUUCGGAACAACACAGGGAAACUUGUGCUAAUACCGGAUACGUCCGUAAGGAGAAAGAUUCAUCGCCGAGGGAUCGGCCCGCGUCUGAUUAGCUAGUUGGUGGGGUAAUGGCCCACCAAGGCGACGAUCAGUAGCUGGUCUGAGAGGAUGAUCAGCCUCACUGGGACUGAGACACGGCCCAGACUCCUACGGGAGGCAGCAGUGGGGAAUAUUGGACAAUGGGCGCAAGCCUGAUCCAGCCAUGCCGCGUGGAUGAUGAAGGCCUUAGGGUUGUAAAGUCCUUUUAUAUGUCAAGAAAAUGACGGUAGCAUAUGAAUAAGCACCGGCUAACUCCGU